rnacentral:lncRNA from 1 species
GAGAGGAGAGGAGGGGGGAGGAGAGGAGAGAGAGAGAGAGAGAGAGAGAGACAGAGAGAGACAGAGAGAGACAGAGAGAGACAGAGAGAGACAGAGAGAGACAGAGAGAGACAGAGAGAGACAGAGAGACAGACAGAGAGAGAGAGACAGAGAGAGAGACAGAGAGAGAGACAGAGAGAGAGAGAGAGAGAGAGAGAGAGAGCGAGCACUUUUCUGAAUUUUUUGUUUUGUAGGGGUCAUUUCAGUAGACAGGUUUAUGCAAAUUCUGAGAACGCCGGAGGGAGGUGGAAACGCAGGAGCCAAAGCCACCGCCCAUAAAAACACACCCUCUGAGUUUCCUUUCAGUUCGGGUGUAGGUAGAUAGUCACCUGCCCACUCAUUCAACUACGGACAUUUAUUUGCUGGAUCCCGU